UACAGAGGUCCCAAGCGUUGUUCGGAUUCACUGGGCGUAAAGGGUGCGUAGGUGGCCGGUUAAGUCUGACGUGAAAUCUCCGAGCCUAUCUCGGAAACUGCAUCGGAAACUAUCCGGCUCGAGGGUUGGAGGGGGGACUGGAAUACUUGGUGUAGCAGUGAAAUGCGUAGAUAUCAAGUGGAACACCAGUGGCGAAGGCGAGUCCCUGGACAACUCCUGACACUGAGGCACGAAAGCUAGGGGAGCAAACAGG
rnacentral:rRNA from 1 species